rnacentral:lncRNA from 1 species
CAACAUGGUAAAACCCCAUCUCUACAAAAAUAUCAAAAGUUAGCCAGGCAUGGUGGUGUGCACCUGUGGUCCCAGCUACUCAGGAGGCUGAGGUGGGAGGAUUGCUUGAGCCCGGGAGGAGAGGCUGCAGUGAGCCAAGAUUGUGCCAUUGCACAGCCUGGGUGACUGAGCCAGACCUUGUCUCAAAAAAACCCCCCACAUCAUUCUUUGUCUAUUCCAGUUCUUAGUGAAUUCUCUCCACAGAAUGACUGCACUCACCAUGGCAGGUAUUAAUAAUUUAAUCAUCGAUUUGACAUCUCUUACCAUUUAAUUUUUGUAUUAUUUAUCUAAGCUUGAUUUUUGUCACUUGCAACUAUGGGAAUUCCAAUCAAUAAAAAAAAAUUAUGAGUAUGAUGCUACAAAUGGGAAAACAGAGGUGUGUAACAGGAGUAUGUCACCCUUGAGGAAUGGACACAUUG